UACGUAGGGUGCAAGCGUUAAUCGGAAUUACUGGGCGUAAAGCGUGCGCAGGCGGUCUGCUAAGAGAGGUGUGAAAUCCCCGGGCUUAACCUGGGAACUGCGCUUCUAACUGGCAGGCUUGAGUGUGGCAGAGGGGGGUGGAAUUCCACGUGUAGCAGUGAAAUGCGUAGAGAUGUGGAGGAACACCGAUGGCGAAGGCAGCCCCCUGGGCUAACACUGACGCUCAUGCACGAAAGCGUGGGGAGCAAAC
rnacentral:rRNA from 1 species